ACGAACGCUGGCGGCGUGCUUAACACAUGCAAGUCGAACGGAAAGGCCCCUUUUGGGGUACUCGAGUGGCGAACGGGUGAGUAACACGUGAGUAACCUGCCCUUGACUUCGGGAUAACUUCAGGAAACUGGGGCUAAUACCUGAUAGGAAUCCUUGCUGCAUGGUGUGGGUUGGAAAGCUUCGGCGGUUUUUGUUUGACUCGCGGCUUAUCAGCUUGUUGGUUGGGUAGUGGGUUACCUAGGCUUUGACGGGUAGCCGGCCUGAGAUGGCGACCGGCCACAUUGGGACUGAGAGACGGCACAGACUCCUACGGGAGGCAGAAGUGGGGAAUAUUGCAAAAGGGGCGGAAGCCUGAUGCAGAAACGCCGCGGGCGGGAUGACGGCCUUCGGGUUGAAAACCGCUUUCAGCAGGGGCGAAGCUUGUGGUGACGGUACCUGCAGAAGAAGCACCGGCUAACUACGUG
rnacentral:rRNA from 1 species